rnacentral:rRNA from 1 species
GUGAGUAACACGUGGAUAACCUACCUAUAAGACUGGGAUAACUUCGGGAAACCGGAGCUAAUACCGGAUAAUAUUUUGAACCGCAUGGUUCAAAAGUGAAAGACGGUCUUGCUGUCACUUAUAGAUGGAUCCGCGCUGCAUUAGCUAGUUGGUAAGGUAACGGCUUACCAAGGCAACGAUGCAUAGCCGACCUGAGAGGGUGAUCGGCCACACUGAACUGAGACACGGUCCAG